rnacentral:rRNA from 1 species
GUGCCUGUUGAUGCUUAUUGCACCACAUGUGUUUUUCUUUGAAACAAACUUGCUUUGGCGGUGGGCCCAGCCUGCCGCCAGAGGUCUAAACUUACAACCAAUUUUUUAUUAACUUGUCACACCAGAUUAUUACUUAAUAGUCAAAACUUUCAACAACGGAUCUCUUGGUUCUCGCAUCGAUGAAGAACGCAGCGAAAUGCGAUACGUAAUAUGAAUUGCAGAUAUUCGUGAAUCAUCGAAUCUUUGAACGCACAUUGCGCCCUCUGGUAUUCCGGAGGGCAUGCCUGUUUGAGCGUCGUUUCUCCCUCAAACCGCUGGGUUUGGUGUUGAGCAAUACGACUUGGGUUUGCUUGAAAGACGGUAGUGGUAAGGCGGGAUCGCUUUGACAAUGGCUUAGGUCUAACCAAAAACAUUGCUUGCGGCGGUAACGUCCACCACGUAUAUCUUCAAACUUUGACCUCAAAUCAGGUAGGACUACCCGCUGAACUUAAGCAUAUCAAAAA